UCUGGUCCUGGACAGGAGGC
rnacentral:miRNA from 1 species